AUAUCUAUGCUUAGAUUGCUAAAUAAAUAAAUAAAUAAAGUUUGCUCUGAACCCUCAUGAUAAGCUCUCACAUGGAAAUGAUGAAUAGUUGCUCUGCCAUGACUAGUUCUCAAAAUUGAAUUCUCUCUCAAGUUUAGGCAUGACUAUUAUGAAUUAGGAUUUGCUCUAAACCUGAACUUGUGGGAAGAGUACUUGAUCUAAAGUCUAAGUCGUUAACGGAUAUGAUAUGGGAAGGUUGAGCUGCUGUUUAUCUGUUCCUAGAGAUGCUAGAAUUUUGGAGAAUUUUAUCUUUGAAAAUCUUUAAAAUGUUGCAUGAUGAGUUCCUGU
rnacentral:lncRNA from 1 species